UACGUAGGUGGCAAGCGUUAUCCGGAUUUACUGGGUGUAAAGGGCGUGUAGGCGGGACUGCAAGUCAGAUGUGAAAACCACGGGCUCAACCUGUGGCCUGCAUUUGAAACUGUAGUUCUUGAGUACUGGAGAGGCAGACGGAAUUCCUAGUGUAGCGGUGAAAUGCGUAGAUAUUAGGAGGAACACCAGUGGCGAAGGCGGCCUGCUGGGCUUUUACUGACGCUGAGGCUCGAAAGUGUGGGGAGCAAACAGG
rnacentral:rRNA from 1 species